GACGAACCGGACAAACGUUAUUCGGAAUUACUGGGCUUAAAGGGUUUGUAGGCGGCCUUGUAAGUCAGGUGUGAAAUCCCUCGGCUCAACCGAGGAAUAGCGCUUGAUACUGCAAGGCUUGAGGGAGACAGGGGUAAGCGGAACUGAUGGUGGAGCGGUGAAAUGCGUUGAUAUCAUCAGGAACACCAGUGGCGAAGGCGGCUCACUGGACCGGCAUUGACGCUGAGGUGCGAAAGCGUGGGGAGCAAACAGG
rnacentral:rRNA from 1 species